UUAACGAGAUAACAUUUUGUAGAAAGCUCUCUGUUUAUUUUUUCUUCUUCUUCGUUCAGUCUCCUCUCCGAUAAAACAAAUCAAACAAGGAUGGGAAUAUCAAGAAAGCCUUUUUCUCUCAGUGAGAAGUCUAAAAGAAUUACCAAACUAUCCCCUUCAACCGCUAACCAUGAUCAGUUUUUUAGGGCUGCUCGCUGCCAGAAGAACCAUUAUGGAUGCAGGUGAAUGGAGAACUCAUCUGCCGCCUGGUUCGCGUCAAAGAAUGUCAACAAGAUUAUGGAUAAACUGAAGAGGGCAUCUCUUUUUUCUUGUCAAGAGGGAUCGAAUGAAUUCAAGAACUUGCUGGAAGGUUUGAGGAGAAGAUGUAUACUGCUGCAACAAGUCAGUCAGAUUAUUUGCGGAGAAUAUGUUUGAAGAUUCUUCGAUAGAGUCAAAAUAUCAAAAUCCUAUGCCUAAUUCUUUGCCAUCCAAUACCGUGCUAAUAGGACAAACCGCUGGAUCAAGCCUGAGGGUGUGGUCUUCAGCAACAUUAAGAGUUGGAAACACUUUGUUUAGCUGGGAAUUAUUAAGACUAUGUUGGAGGCCUCGACAAGCAUUACAGAUUUACUACAUAUAUAGACUUGUAGCCCUAAAUAGUUUCGAUAUCAUGAUUAUGAGUUUCAAAGCUCAAACUAAAUAAUGUAAAUACAUAUGAUCCUAAGACUUUUAAAAUCUGAAGAUUGUUAACCGAAUUGUUGUAUGAUUAUAGACUGCAAAAAGCUUUAACUUAUCAUAAAAGUGUAUGUGAGAGUGCUUUGAAUUGUAUGGAUUGCAGAAGUUGUACUUUAAUUAUCAUAUCAUGUAGUGGUUAUACUUUAAUUA